UACGAAGGGGGCUAGCGUUGCUCGGAAUCACUGGGCGUAAAGCGCACGUAGGCGGAUCGCUAAGUCAGGGGUGAAAUGCCAAGGCUCAACCUUGGAACUGCCUUUGAUACUGACGAUCUGGAGAUUGGGAGAGGUGAGUGGAAUUCCGAGUGUAGAGGUGAAAUUCGUAGAUAUUCGGAGGAACACCAGAAGCGAAGGCGGCUCACUGGCCCAAUACUGACGCUGAGGCGCGAAAGCGUGGGGAGCAAACAGG
rnacentral:rRNA from 1 species